rnacentral:rRNA from 1 species
GUGAACGCUGGCGUUAGGCCUAACACAUGCAAGUCGAACGGCAGCACAGUAAGAGCUUGCUCUUACGGGUGGCGAGUGGCGGACGGGUGAGGAAUACAUCGGAAUCUACUUUUUCGUGGGGGAUAACGUAGGGAAACUUACGCUAAUACCGCAUACGACCUACGGGUGAAAGCAGGGGAUCUUCGGACCUUGCGCGAUUGAAUGAGCCGAUGUCGGAUUAGCUAGUUGGCGGGGUAAAGGCCCACCAAGGCGACGAUCCGUAGCUGGUCUGAGAGGAUGAUCAGCCACACUGGAACUGAGACACGGUCCAGACUCCUACGGGAGGCAGCAGUGGGGAAUAUUGGACAAUGGGCGCAAGCCUGAUCCAGCCAUACCGCGUGGGUGAAGAAGGCCUUCGGGUUGUAAAGCCCUUUUGUUGGGAAAGAAAAGCAGCAGGUUAAUACCCCGCUGUUCUGACGGUACCCAAAGAAUAAGCACCGGCUAACUUCGUG